GCUUGCUAAUAUCACCCUGCAGCCCAAGAUCGGUUACUGAAGCUCACUGAAGCUUAGCAGGGCUGAGCCUAGUCAGUGCCUGGAUGGGAGAAAACCAGAUGGAAAAACUAGGUUGCUGUUGCAAGUG
rnacentral:rRNA from 1 species